UUGUCUUCUGUUGCCAUCGGGUUAUGCCGGGCACUCUGAAGAGACUGCCGGUGACAAACCGGAGGAAGGUGGGGAUGACGUCAAGUCAGCAUGGCCUUUAUGUCUGGGGCCACACACGUGCUACAAUGGCAGGUACAAACCGUCGCGAGACCGCAAGGUGGAGCUAAUCGGAGAAAGCCUGUCUCAGUUCGGAUUGUAGGCUGCAACUCGCCUGCAUGAAGUUGGAAUCGCUAGUAAUCGCGGAUCAGCACGCCGCGGUGAAUACGUUCGAGGGCCUU
rnacentral:rRNA from 1 species